rnacentral:lncRNA from 1 species
GCUGACACGUGCCCUGACUUGACAACUUGGUCUCCUAACAUGAGGUCCUUGAGGAGUCAUAGGCCUUGGGUAGUUUGUGCUCAUGUUUUAAUUUCUUCAUCUGAUUCUGAGCUGGUUCAUGUCCCUGGAAGAGAAUUUUUAAUUUGCCUUAAAUGUUCUUCCUGUAAGUAUAUGAGGGCAGUUUUUUAUACUUUUAAAAAUUGCAUUGGCUAAUUCUCCAUCGCUUUAUGAACUCCAUGUUACAGCAUCAUGAUUUUUCAUUUGUUUUUAUUAGUUUCUGAUGUCAUGCUGAAAUAGCACUGUGUUUUGGGUUGGUUUGUUUGUUUUAUGAGUUGCUGAUCUUCGGUAC